AAUGAACGUUGGCGGCGUGGAUUAGGCAUGCAAGUCGUGCGGAAAGGCUCCUUCGGGAGUACUCGAGCGGCGAAAGGGAGAGUAACGCGUGGAUAUCUGCCCCCUGGACCGGGAUAGCGGCGGGAAACUGCCGGUAAUACCGGAUGAAGUCUCCGGACUAAAGGUGUGAUUCCGCCGGGGGAUGAGUUCGCGUCCUAUUAGCUAGUUGGUGGGGUAACGGCCUACCAAGGCUGAGAUGGGGUACCGGGUGUGAGAGCAUGACCCGGCUCACUGGGACUGAGACACUGCCCAGACACCUACGGGUGGCUG
rnacentral:rRNA from 1 species